rnacentral:rRNA from 1 species
CACGUAGGGUGCGAGCGUUGUCCGGAAUUAUUGGGCGUAAAGAGCUCGUAGGCGGUGUGUCGCGUCGGCCCGUGAAAACCUGCAGCUUAACUGUGGGCUUGCGGUCGAUACGGGCAUCACUGGAGUUCGGCAGGGGAGACUGGAAUUCCUGGUGUAGCGGUGAAAUGCGCAGAUAUCAGGAGGAACACCGGUGGCGAAGGCGGGUCUCUGGGCAGUAACUGACGC